UCCGGUGGUUAAGCUAAGGGGUUCCACCUGUUCCCAUCCCGAACACAGAAGUUAAGCCCUUAUACGCCGACAAUACUUGGCUGGCGACGGCCCGGAAAGAUAGGUAGCUGCCGGAU
rnacentral:rRNA from 1 species